rnacentral:lncRNA from 1 species
ACCCAAAGUCAAUAGCACUAAUUAAACUUAAAUUACAAAAACUUAAAUGUGGGAAUUAAUCAAUGUACAUUAAGAUUAAAAUGUAUCACAACCCAUAAUUCUUCUUGUGAAAUUACAUGUCAACACUAAAAAUUAUGAAAUCAGUGCAGUAAUAAGCCAGCUGCCUCGAAGUCUUCGCUCUCGUGUCCUUAGCACUAAAAAGCGUGUAGUUUUUCAAGUUCUUGAAAAUGGUACGUUUACAAGUUCUUUGCAUAGGCUAAACAUACCAUUUUCCAUUUUAAUUACACUUUGAAGCAUUGUAUCCAUCUUCAUUUUCAUGUCUGUAUCGUCCAUGUCCAUGUCUGGGGCAAGAACAGUCAGUUGCCUGUGGAUCUCUAGAAACCUGCAUAUCUUCUCAGCAAACUCAAGGUCACCAUUGGAAACUCGACCUAUUGCCAACCUCAUUAGCUCUCCUGUUAAGUCAACAAGCUAAACCAUGAAAAAACUGAAUUACUUUCAACAUAUAUAAACAAACAGAAGAUGAUAAAUGAAUGAAAAAACUAAAUCAGUAUUCUUGUCUUUAGAUAGUUCCAGAGUAAAAUCUGAUGUAGUAGAUUUUGAUAAUAACACAUUUAUAUUAAAAAUAUUAAUUUUUCCAAAUCAUUGACAUAGACCAUUAUAUCGGAGUAUGUAAUAUGACAUAUUGAGAUGGCAGUGAUGUGUAUAGCGGUCGUUUGUCGAAUGUGGAUGGAAACUAAAUGCGUACAAGACCUAAGAACACACACCUUUUAAAGAUCCCGACUAGCAUAGCUUUUAUCACGAGUUAAAGAUGCAAAUGGUGCCAGCUUUUCUUUGGUGCUAUCAUCAAUAGAACUGCAGUUAACAAAAAUAAACAUAUAACAUUCACAUGGAACAUACACAUACAUUGAAAUCUAAGAUUCAGUCUGUUAUUAUUGCAUUCAACCUCAGACCAUGAGCAGCAAUCACUACUCCUUUCUCAUCUAUGCAUCCAAGAUUUAGUCUUCGAGAAAACAGAGGAUUCAGAUUAGGCGGACUUAUUAAGAGAAAGACUAUGUUUAGAUUAUAACAAAGGAGAACUCUUAUGAUCAUGGCACAUCGAAUGGAUUAAGUGUCCAAACCUGUUAAUUGUCAAAGUAUGGCUUAAGAUAACAAUUUUACUACAUACUUUGUUCAUAUGAUCUGCAUAAGGUUAGUUGAACCUCUUUGAGAUUGUGCAGACACCAGAAACAGGUCAAUAAUAUAUAAUUAAAUUGAAUACAAGUACUAAUGUACUAUAAGUAUUGUGUACCUGCGAAAUUGGUAACAAGUAUCUCAUAUUCUUCGCCAACUUUGACUUCACUAAGCUACCGGCUUGGGCUCUAACCCGACGAAGGUGGCAUCAGAUCCUUCCACAGCAAGAUUAUCAAGAUU